rnacentral:rRNA from 1 species
UACGAAGGGGGCUAGCGUUGCUCGGAAUCACUGGGCGUAAAGCGCACGUAGGCGGAUUGUUAAGUCAGGGGUGAAAUCCUGGAGCUCAACUCCAGAACUGCCUUUGAUACUGGCGAUCUCGAGUCCGGGAGAGGUGAGUGGAACUGCGAGUGUAGAGGUGAAAUUCGUAGAUAUUCGCAAGAACACCAGUGGCGAAGGCGGCUCACUGGCCCGGUACUGACGCUGAGGAACGAAAGCUAGGGGAGCAAACAGG